GAGGGUAUAGGUAAAAUGGUAGAGCACGUGCUUAGCAUGCAUGAGGUCCUGGGUUGGAUCCCCAGUACUUCUG
rnacentral:tRNA from 1 species